UGCUGAAACACUGGUUCUCGUACGAUUAUUGAAGAAAAGCAAUGUUGGGCCUGGUUAGUACCUAGAUGGGUGACAACUUGGAAAUAUCAGGUACUGUAAG